rnacentral:lncRNA from 1 species
CCACAUCUACUUUGAGCUAGAGUUUUGCAACAACAAAUUAGUGUUAGAGAAAGAAUGUCAGCCUGAUCGAAGAGGAAAGAGAGCAUGGUGAGAAUGGGAGUGUGCAACUCUGCUGCCUCCCACUGACGAUCCCCUUGCCAUAGCCAAAGUGGUGCUAUCUAAGAGUCCGUUGUUGUGCAACCCUUUGCCACAGUCGAUCCGCAACCACUAGAGGCCUUAGUCUAGUAGAUCCAAAUGCUGACUUGCAUAGUG